rnacentral:snRNA from 1 species
UUGACCAAAUGGGUAGAUCAAU